rnacentral:rRNA from 1 species
CUCCGGGUCUCAGCAGUGGGGAAUAUUGGACAAUGGGGGAAACCCUGAUCCAGCAAUGCCGCGUGUGUGAAGAAGGCCUGCGGGUUGUACAUCACUUUCUUUUUUUCUGACUGCUUCUAGCACUAAUAUUGUUGGAAGUUGACGUUACCUUCAGAAGAAGCACCGGCUAACUCCGUGCCAGCGGCCGCGGUAAUACGGAGGGUGCAAGCGUUAAUCGGAAUUACUGGGCGUAAAGCGCGCGUAGGCGGCUAGAUCAGUCGGGUGUGAAAGCCCCGGGCUUAACCUGGGAACUGCAUCCGAUACUGUCUAGCUUGAGUACAGGAGAGGAGAGUGGAAUUCCACAUGUAGCGGUGAAAUGCGUAGAUAUGUGGAGGAACACCAAUGGCGAAGGCAGCUCUCUGGCCUGAUACUGACGCUGAGGUGCGAAAGCGUGGGGAGCAAACAGGAUUAGAUACCCUCGUAGUC